ACCAUCGGCCCUAUGAACUUUGUGCACCCUGUGUACAUUUCUCCAUUUGACACAUAUCCUCUCCUCAUUGGCAAAGACCUGCUAGAUCGCUUUGAACCAUUGCUAGAUUUUAAACAACUGAAAAUCUGGGCUCAAGUGCGAGAACCUCUGCCUCCGCAGUCACCAAGUCCACCCCAGACAGACUGUCAGGUCACAAAGGUCGCGGGAAAUCUCGCCGCCAGCCGCGGGAACGUCUCGUCCCAAGAGCAAGGUUCAAGGUCGCUGCUCUGUACUUUCCAGUUAGCCAAAGACUCUGACACAUACGGACCCCACGUUAAGGGGGGCUUACAACUGAAUGAUGUCACAACAACAGACCCCAUACUAGCACUGUGGGCAGACAAUUCAGCCAUCAGCCUCUCACAGUUCAAUGCUCUCAAACAGCACACAACGAACAUUCCUUUUGCUAACAAGCGCACACGAUUCCCCUUGAAUCCCUGUCCAUCAGCUAUGGUGACUGCCAAGGGCACCUGUGCCUUGAACUUGAGGUGGAAUGACAGGUGUCUAACCCAUUACUUCCUGGUCCUUACAGACGCACCGCAUGAUGUCUACAUCGGAGCGGACAUUCUGAUUCGCCUCAGGGCUCACGUGGACAUGAUCAAUGAAGUGAUAUGGGCUCCAAUGACCUCACAGUCACCCACAGUUCCUGUCAACCAUGAGAACCUCCUGUCAGGCCAAACCAUCCCUGAGGCCUGCAUGCUAAUCAAUGAAAAAGAGACUGUAGUACCAGCUUACACCAAAGGGGUCGCUGUUCGACUCAACCUGCGAAGCGGCCAAACUCUCAGUCACACCCUAGGCUUCUUCCAACCUUCACCCGAAUGUGGGGAACUGGGCCUCAUUUUGGAAGCCACACCCCUCGUUGAAGUAACAUCUCGGGCAACCUACAUCUUGUUCAAUAACUGCAUGGCAACGGAUGUCAGAGUGCCUAAGGCGUACCGUCUGGGUUGGCUAGUGAGCUAUGACUUUCAUGACUUUGAACUAAUUCUACCAAUUAUUGGACCCAUCUCAGAUCCAAUGAUUCCAGAAGAAAGCUCAGGCCACACAGUGUUAACAGAACCCUUCAAGAUCAUCA
rnacentral:lncRNA from 1 species